rnacentral:rRNA from 1 species
UACGGGGGGGGGCAAGCGUUUGUUCGGAAUUACUGGGCGUAAAGGGUUCGUAGGUGGCCAACUCAGUCAGACGUGAAAUCCCUCAGCUCAACUGGGGAACUGCGUCUGAUACUAGAUGGCUCGAGUGCAGGAGAGGAACGCGGAAUUCCAGGUGUAGCGGCGAAAUGCGUAGAUAUCUGGAGGAACACCGGUGGCGAAGGCGGCGUUCUGGACUGCAACUGACACUGAGGAACGAAAGCCAGGGGAGCAAACGGG